rnacentral:rRNA from 1 species
AACGAACGCUGGCGGCAUGCCUAACACAUGCAAGUCGAACGAGACCUUCGGGUCUAGUGGCGCAUGGGUGCGUAACGCGUGGGAACCUGCCCUUAGGUUCGGAAUAACUCUCCGAAAGGGGUGCUAACAUCGGAUAAUGUCCUCGGACCAAAGAUUUAUCGCAUUUGGAUGGGCCCGCGUUGGAUUAGCUUGUUGGUAGGGUAUAAGCCUACCAAGGCGACGAUCCAUAGCUGGUCUGAGAGGAUGAUCAGCCACACUGGGACUGAGACACGGCCCAGACUCCUGCGGGAGGCAGCAAUGGGUGAUAUUGGACAAUAGGCGAAAGCCUGAUCCAGCAAUGCCGCGUGAGAGAUGAAGGCCUUAGGGUUAUAAAGCUCUUUUACCCGGGAUGAUAAUGACAGUACCGAGAGAAUAAGCUCCGGCUAACUCCGUG